UACGUAGGGAGCAAGCGUUGUCCGGAAUCAUUGGGCGUAAAGCGCGCGUAGGUGGCCUCAUAAGUCCGCUGUGAAAGUCAAAGGCUCAACCUUUGAAAGCCGGUGGAUACUGUGGGGCUAGAGUACGGAAGAGGCGAGUGGAAUCCUGGUGUAGCGGUGGAAUGCGCAGAUAUCAGGAGGAACACCAAUAGCGAAGGCAGCUCGCUGGGACGUUACUGACACUGAGGCGCGAAAGCGUGGGGAGCGAACAGG
rnacentral:rRNA from 1 species